UACGUAGGGUGCAAGCGUUAAUCGGAAUACUGGGCGUAAAGCGUGCGCAGGCGGUGAUGUAAGACAGGUGUGAAAUCCCCGGGCUUAACCUGGGAACUGCAUUUGUGACUGCAUCGCUGGAGUGCGGCAGAGGGGAUGGAAUUCCGCGUGUAGCAGUGAAAUGCGUAGAUAUGCGGAGGAACACCGAUGGCGAAGGCAAUCCCCUGGGCCUGCACUGACGCUCAUGCACGAAAGCGUGGGAGCAAACAGGAUAGAAACCCUGGU
rnacentral:rRNA from 1 species